ACCAGCAUUUCAAAGCCACUUUUAAUACGGUGAAUUCAAAACUUUUCAGUGUGUUUUAAGAUUAGCGCUGCAAUUGGGCCGAAUAUCAUCACACCUAAAAACAUUACUGAUUUUUGACCAACAAUUUUUGUAAAUGCUUCGGUUUGACCAGCAGCUAUUACAGCAAUGGCAAUAAUGACAGCAAUCACACCACCACGUAUUUCAUAAAUCUUUUUACCACCA
rnacentral:sRNA from 1 species